UACGGGGGGGGGCAAGCGUUGUUCGGAAUUACUGGGCGUAAAGGGCUCGUAGGCGGCCAACUAAGUCGGACGUGAAAUCCCCAGGCUCAACCUGGGAACUGCGUCCGAUACUGGAUGGCUUGAAUCCGGGAGAGGGAUGCAGAAUUCCAGGUGUAGCGGUGAAAUGCGUAGAUAUCUGGAGGAAUACCGGUGGCGAAGGCGGCAUCCUGGACCAAUAUUGACGCUGAGGAGCGAAAGCCAGGGGAGCAAACGGG
rnacentral:rRNA from 1 species